rnacentral:lncRNA from 1 species
UAUAUCUCUCGUUGUUCUCGUAGUUUUGAGAACUACAGAUGCUCUGAAUUUCUCAUUGCACGGUGAAAAUACGUAGGCACGAGAAUGAGAAUCCUUGACAAGCACAUUCCUAUUUAUUCCUAAUUCUUCUGCCUUAGGGCACCAUGUAUAUCUUUCGUGAUCCAUCAUCUACCUUCAAUUAUAACCAUUCACCUCAGUGACACACUGCCUUUCUUUGAAACCAAACACCAGAUUUCUUUGGAAUUCCAUAUAUACCCUUUUAGGACACUUGUCUACCUUUGUACCAAGAGAUGUUUUCUAUCGAACCAAACAAUU